rnacentral:rRNA from 1 species
GAGGUUGGCUUCGGCCAGCCUAGUGGCGGACGGGUGAGUAAUGCGUGGGAAUCUGCCUCGUAGUGGGGGAUAACGUAGGGAAACUUACGCUAAUACCGCAUACGCUCUACGGAGGAAAGGGGGGGAUCUUCGGACCUCUCGCUAUGAGAUGAGCCCACGUCUGAUUAGCUAGUUGGUGGGGUAAAGGCCUACCAAGGCGACGAUCAGUAGCCGGCCUGAGAGGGUGGACGGCCACACUGGGACUGAGACACGGCCCAGACUCCUACGGGAGGCAGCAGUGGGGAAUAUUGGACAAUGGGCGAAAGCCUGAUCCAGCAAUGCCGCGUGUGUGAAGAAGGCCUGCGGGUUGUAAAGCACUUUAAGUGGGGAAGAACGGGAUUGCGCUAAUACCGUGAUCUCUUGACGUUACCCACAGAAUAAGCACCGGCUAACUCCGUGCCAGCAGCCGCGGUAAUACGGAGGGUGCGAGCGUUAAUCGGA